GAUGAACGCUGGCGGCGUGCCUAAUACAUGCAAGUCGAGCGAACAGAUCAGGAGCUUGCUCCUUUGACGUUAGCGGCGGACGGGUGAGUAACACGUGGGUAACCUACCUAUAAGACUGGGAUAACUUCGGGAAACCGGAGCUAAUACCGGAUAACAUUUGGAACCGCAUGGUUCUAAAGUGAAAGAUGGUUUUGCUAUCACUUAUAGAUGGACCCGGGCAGUAUUAGCUAGUUGGGAAGGUAACGGGUUACCAAGGCGACGAAGCUUAGCCGACCUGAAGGGGUGAUCGGGCACAUGGGAACGGAGACAGGGUCCAGACUCCUACGGGAGGCAGCAGUAGGGAAUCCUCCGGAAUGGGCGAAAGCCUGACGGAGCAACGCCGCGUGAGUGAUGAAGGGUUUCGGCUCGUAAAACUCUGUUAUUAGGGAAGAACAAAUGUUUAAGUAACUGUGCACGUCUUGACGGUACCUAAUCAGAAAGCCACGGCUAACUACGUG
rnacentral:rRNA from 1 species